rnacentral:lncRNA from 1 species
GUGGUAUUUUUUGUUUUUGAAAUCGGAUGUUAUGCAUUUUCUACAUCCAACUUGAUAUAUGUUUAUGUCGUGGACUUGAUAAAAAAUAUAAAAUAUUGAUAAUGAAUAGAGCGCAUUAUACAUGUUAUAUACUAACAUAUAUAAUAACUAUAUAUAUGUUUCGUUUUUAUAUAGAUUAGACCAUUGGUUUCCCCGUUUGAAUGGUUUUACAAUAGUAAUUUUUUAAGCCCUUUACAGCUUGCUGUUCGGUGUAAGACAACGAUCCGUGUUGAUGACCAUACCUCGACCUAUAAUGGUUUACUUUUAUAAAUUAUUUCUUGGAUAGAGAGUUGUCUCAUUGGCACUAAAACCGCAUCUUUCUAUAUUUAUAACUCUAAGCACUUAACAAUUCAAUACAAAUGAAAUACAAACAAACAAACAAAAACAACAUCAAACAUAGAAUACAAUGCAUAAAAUGUUACGAAUGACACAAGCAGCUUAACAAAUGUUU